UACGAAGGUCCCAAGCGUUAUCCGGAUUUAUUGGGUUUAAAGGGUGCGUAGGCGGGUUAUUAAGUCAGUGGUGAAAGCCUACAGCUUAACUGUAGAACUGCCAUUGAUACUGAUGAUCUUGAGUACGAUUGAGGUAGGCGGAAUGUGUCAUGUAGCGGUGAAAUGCUUAGAUAUGACACAGAACACCGAUUGCGAAGGCAGCAGGCUAAACAAAUAUUGACGCUGAGGCUCGAAAGCGUGGGGAUCAAACAGG
rnacentral:rRNA from 1 species